UGUGAUGCCUCCCUGGGCUACAUGACAGA
rnacentral:piRNA from 1 species